GGCCGCCUGGUGUAGUUGGUUAUCACGCAUCCUUCACAUAAUUGGACGUGGUCGGAUGAGGUCUUGAGUUCGAACCUCAAGGUGGUCA